rnacentral:rRNA from 1 species
CCCUUAGAUGUUCUGGGCCGCACGCGCGCUACACUGGCUGGCUCAACAAGCAUCUCACCUGCGCUGGCGUGCGGGUUGGUGUGUGUGUGGAGUUUACUCCCUGCUGCAUCAGCUCAGCGCUGCUUAGCUCUGCUAAGUCGAGAGGCGUGGGCAAUCUUGAAAGGCCAGCCGUGUCUGGGAUAGGCUCUUGCAAUUUUCAGCCUUGAACGAGGAAUUCCUAGUAAAUGUGGGUCAUCAACCCGCAUUGAUUACGUCCCUGCCCUUUGUACACACCGCCCGUCGCACCUACCGAUUGAAUGGUCCGGUGAAAUCUCUGGACAGGCUUUUGUGCCUCUGCUUGAGGUAACUUGAGUGAGUGCACAAGCAGGCAGUGGUUGGUGUUUUCGCUAGCUGCAGCUCUGUUUGCCUGGAAGUUGAUUAAAUCUUACCAUUUAGAGGAAGGUGAAGUCGUANCA